rnacentral:rRNA from 1 species
AUUGAACGCUGGCGGCAUGCUUUACACAUGCAAGUCGAACGGUAACAGGCCGCAAGGUGCUGACGAGUGGCGAACGGGUGAGUAAUGCAUCGGGACGUGCCCAGUCGUGGGGGAUAACGCAGCGAAAGCUGCGCUAAUACCGCAUACGAUCUAUGGAUGAAAGCGGGGGACCGUAAGGCCUCGCGCGAUUGGAGCGGCCGAUGUCAGAUUAGGUAGUUGGGGGGGUAAAGGCUCACCAAGCCAACGAUCUGUAGCUGGUCUGAGAGGACGACCAGCCACACUGGGACUGAGACACGGCCCAGACUCCUACGGGAGGCAGCAGUGGGGAAUUUUGGACAAUGGGCGCAAGCCUGAUCCAGCAAUGCCGCGUGCAGGAAGAAGGCCUUCGGGUUGUAAACUGCUUUUGUACGGAACGAAACGGUCUGGGUUAAUACCUCGGGCUAAUGACGGUACCGUAAGAAUAAGCACCGGCUAACUACGUGCCAGCAGCCGCCGUAAAAC